GUGCUGUGAUCACUUAGGUAGCACAUAUACUAAAAUUGGAAUGAUACAGAGAUUAGCAUGGCCCCUGCCAAGGAUGACAUGCAGAUUUGUGAGGCGUUCUAUAUUUUU